CUUGAAUAAAAUGUUAAUAAAACAAAACAAAACAAAACUUUGCAAUGCAACUUCAUUACAUCCUCAUUGCAACAGUAGCAACAACAAGAACAGCGGAACUCAUUUCAGGUCACAGAGAAAACUGUAACUUCAAAAACAGGACUGGCUUUUCUCAUUGAACAAAACAAGCAAGCAAGCAUGUAGUAAUUGGACCAUUAUGGCAUAGCCUCCAAUGUUUUACAGAUGAAAACAGGGAAAGAAUGAACACUGUUAAGGUAUGGUAUGGGGUUCCUUGUAAGAUCUCAUUAUUAACAGAGAUGAUCAAACAAAAAUUGUGGCAGAAAAUUAGCUGUUUGCCUCUGUUAGAGAUGGACAAUCUCUUUCCUUAAUUUGAAAGUUACUCCU